UUCUUCCUGUAGUGGAUGAGUGGAUUCUAGUGCAUGUUAAAUUAUUGUCAUGACUAGAUCACACUCAUCCAUCAAAAGAAGAU
rfam:Zootermopsis nevadensis contig10450, whole genome shotgun sequence.